rnacentral:lncRNA from 1 species
AGACCGACAAAACAACCACCCCCAAAUAAAAUUAUGAAUGGGCCGACGCCGCAACAAUGCGCCAGGCUGCGGGGGGCGGGGCCGGAGGGCCUGUGGACUUGCAGCAAGGUCAGGGCCCCGCCGCCCGUAAACAAGGGCUCACAAUGCCCGUCUUUCCUCCGAGAGCCGGCUCCUCUCCUGGCCUGGUCCCCUGGGUCCGCGGCCUGCCCUGUCCCUCGUCCUCGCCCAAGUCUGUCACUGAAAGGCCAGCCCUGCUUCCUCAGGGAAAAGCCCGGUCUUUUGUGAGCAUUCACUUCCUCCUCCUGUGGGAACCACUUGUGAGCCUAUGACAGCUGCUCUGAGGCGUCUUUCUCAGGAGCCGAGGUGGGGAGGAGAGGGGGGCCGCUGGCUGCAGGGCAGGGGGGCUGCAACCUGUCCGGGCUGGGAUUGUCAUCACAGGCCUGGGCAGAGAACAAUGGGGGGAGCCCGGCUCCUCCACCCCCAGGGCUAGGUGCUGGGGCAGCUUCCUCUUCCCACAAGCCUGCUCUUUUGGCAUCCAUCCUGAGAGGUCCAUGCCGAUGUCACUGGUUAGGAAACUCCUGGAAAAUACCACACACCCCACACUCAGCCGGAAAGGGGUGCGGAGCAUGGAAACGCACAUCAGGAGGCUGCCGCCCAGAGCUUGGAAAUGCACAUCAGGAAGCCUCCGACUUCAUUUCCCCUCCUUCGAAAGAGGGACUUCUCUCGGUGAUCUGCAUGGCUCCUCCACGGCCACAUCUGGAGGGUUUGAGGGAUGGCCUCCUAUUCCAUGAUCAUGAACAGGGGACUGGAAUGAAUGAGAUCUUAUAUGAACUCUUAACGGGGAGGAAGAGGAUCAGGCUUCCUGGACGUGAUGUACAAGGCUCAUGUGUACUGCAGUGGAAGUGCAGAGUUGUAACCGCUGGACCCCCAGGGAAGUUCCAGUGCGUGCUUUUCUUUGUGUGAGUUCUAGUUCAAGGUCAUGGGAUGAGAACCAAAUCAAUAGGAUUUCCACUCAAACAGCUCCUUCCAUAAGUGCUGUUUUUAAUCAUUUUUCUUCAUGUUAUGAUGGUAUAAAUAUUAUUUAAAAACCUAUUUAAUAUGCUGAUUAUUUCCUUACAUAGCUGGGAGAGGACUAUGCUUGGAAACGUAACUUCUAAGCCUAUUUCUGCCUUGUUAUAAUGGAGAUAGUACCAAGUAUUUCCCAAGAGUGCUGGCAGUGAAAUUUUAAAAAUCUAUAAAUCACUCGGCAUAGGGUAAAUUCUAUGUAGUAAAUGCCCUAGAAAUAUAUUAGUAUU